GGUGCCUCCAACUGCGUUAGCCGCUCGUAACGAGGUUAUGUCCUCGGCCGCUGUAUCGAAAGUGGCUAAUGAUUCCAACGGUUUGGCUAAGGUUUUCGAGAAGGUAGGCCCUGGCUGCAAACCUAAAGGUUCGUUUUGCUUGUUUGACCUACAGAGUUGCUGUAGGCCUUGCGGAUGCCUUGCAGGGUGGUGCUAUAACAUUGAUCAUGAUUGCAAUGAGUACACAUAAUGGUCGCUACUGAGUUAAAAAAAGAAAACAGCUCUGAGUCUAAAACAUGGGAUUCGAUUAUAAAUGUUCUAUAUAUAACAUAUGUAUUUGAAUAAAGAAUCUCGUGUUAUGUCCCUGUUUGGUUGAGCUCUGCCUUUGUUGUAAGAGUUGAUGUUUUUCGUCUUCUCAUUGGUGUGUUGGUAUUGUGUGUACCCUUGUUAUUGGCAUAUGUAAUGAUAACUAAGUUCAUGAGUAUUUACCUAUUUUCUUUUAUGUAUAAUAAUUUGAUACUAAUUUUGAUUUUUAGAAAACAAACUUUUUUUUAUGCACUUUUAACAUGAUUUGGUAAAUUUUAAAACUUUUUUCAUAAAUAAAUUUAAUAAAUAAAUUUUCUAGUAUAUAAAAAAUAAUGAAUAACCUUUAUAAAAAUGGAUUGCAUGAAACUGUAAUCAUUAUACAUUUUUAAUAGGAGGAUGACAAAUCAGAUGUUACUCUUCAUUUUUAGUUUUUUCCUCCUAACAAAUUUAAAUCCAACUAAAAAAACUAAAAAUCAAGUGAAAAAAUCUGAUUUAUUAUUUUCUUAUUCGAAAAGCAUAAAAAUAAUAUAAAAUCACAGUUUUAUACAUUCAUUUUAUAACAUUUUCUGAAAAACAAUUUGAGCGUCUUACACAAUUUUAAAUAUAAAAUAUGUAUUUUAUAAAUUAAAAUUAAUUAUUCGAUUCGAUCCAGGGUUUAGUAGCCUACUAGAGUAGAUCCGAUUAGCAAAUCAACACUAGUUUAUACGUGCUUCCUUUUGAACCGCUUCGAAAUCAGCUCCAAAAAAGUGCUAGAAGCUCGAGCAACUUAAAAACCUCAAAAAAAAAAAAAUUAUAGAGCUGAAAAGCACAAAAAAUGCACCGUUGCAGAGGCAGGUGAGCUGAAAAACCAGCAGCUGAAAGGGACAAACCCGUCACGUGCAGCUCUCCAAUAGCAGGUCAUGGAGUUCAGUGAAGAAAAACCACAGCAAGCAUAAGCAGCACAAAACCAGACACAAACAGCUCAAAAAACAGAGUUGAAACAGUUGAUUAGACGCAAACCAGCUCGAAUCAGUAGCAUCGUUUUCUAUAUAAAGGGCCGCCUCGACCUACAAACCAUUCCACACACAAAACAUAAUCAUGGAGUGGUGCAAGAAGCUCGCUUUUCUGAUGGUUGCAAUGGCUCUGCUUCUUCAGGCCAUGGUGCCCCCGACAGCAUUAGCUGCUCGUAACAAUGUCAUGGAAUACAAUCCAUUGGCAAGCGUAUUCUCGAGGGAAGGCCCUGGCUGCAUCGCAAAAGGCGGGUUUUGCUUGUUUGACCUAACCAGUUGCUGUAGGCCUUGCGGAUGCCUUGCAGGGUGGUGCUAUAACAUUGAUCAUGAUUGCAAUGAGUACACAUAAUGGUCGCUACUAAGUUAAA
rnacentral:lncRNA from 1 species